UACGGGGGGGGCAAGCGUUGUUCGGAAUUACUGGGCGUAAAGGGCUCGUAGGCGGCCAACUAAGUCAGACGUGAAAUCCCUCGGCUUAACCGGGGAACUGCGUCUGAUACUGGAUGGCUUGAGAUUGGGAGAGGGAUGCGGAAUUCCAGGUGUAGCGGUGAAAUGCGUAGAUAUCUGGAGGAACACCAAUGGCGAAGGCAGCUCGCUGGGACGUGACUGACGCUGAGACGCGAAAGCGUGGGGAUCAAACAGG
rnacentral:rRNA from 1 species